GGAAUAUUGCACAAUGGGCGCAAGCCUGAUGCAGCGACGCCGCGUGAGGGAUGACGGCCUUCGGGUUGUAAACCUCUUUCACCAGGGACGAAGCGCAAGUGACGGUACCUGGAGAAGAAGCACCGGCCCACUCCGUGCCAGCAGCCGCGGUAAUACGUAGGGGGCGAGCGUUGUCCGGAAUUACUGGGCGUAAAGAGCUCGUAGGUGGUUUGUCGCGUUGUUCGUGAAAACUCACAGCUUAACUGUGGGCGUGCGGGCGAUACGGGCAGACUAGAGUACUGCAGGGGAGACUGGAAUUCCUGGUGUAGCGGUGGAAUGCGCAGAUAUCAGGAGGAACACCGGUGGCGAAGGCGGGUCUCUGGGCAGUAACUGACGCUGAGGAGCGAAAGCGUAGGGAGCGAAC
rnacentral:rRNA from 1 species